UUGUUAUUCAACUGACAAUGAUGAACACCUUAUUUAAGCCAUAUACAGUUAUCCCUGUCAUAAGAAUAAUUGAUGAUAAAAUAAGCUGACGUAAAAUGUUCAUUAUUAUGAUUAAUUGUUUAAAUAUAUAAACUAAUGAUCAGUUUUUUUUCAGAUAGUUUUUACAUUUGGAAAUAGUAUCUGUCUUAACUUCGAAACUUCAAAGGAAAAAAGAUAAAACAUUCAAAUGGAAAUAUAUUGAAUUGAGCUUGAAAAUAGAUGAAUACUCCAAAAUAGCUCCUUUAGAAUUUACAUUAUCUGAUUAUAAAAAACGUGGGACUCCGUCAGUGUUAUGGGUGUUUUUCUUGAUCCCUGUAAUCAAUGUAAAAGUACAAUCUGAUUUGAAUAAAAAUGCUAUUUUGUUGUAUUAUAA